AGAGAUGCAUUGGGCUUAAAGGGUGCGCAGGCGGUUCGUUAAGUCUGCUGUGAAAGCCCUGGGCUCAACCUGGGAAUGGCAGUGGAUACUGGCGAGCUAGAGUACGGUAGAGGAAGGUGGAAUUCCCGGUGUAGCGGUGAAAUGCGUAGAGAUCGGGAGGAACACCAGUGGCGAAGGCGACCUUCUGGACCAGUACUGACGCUCAUGCACGAAAGCGUGGGGAGCAAACAGGAUUAGAUACCCUGGUAGUCCACGCCCUAAACGAUGCGAACUGGAUGUUGGGCACACUUUGGUGCUCAGUGUCGAAGCUAACGCGUUAAGUUCGCCGCCUGGGGAGUACGGUCGCAAGACUGAAACUUAAAAAAUUGACGG
rnacentral:rRNA from 1 species